UACGGGGGGGGCAAGCGUUGUUCGGAAUUACUGGGCGUAAAGGGCGUGUAGGCGGCCAACUAAGUCCGACGUGAAAUCCCCAGGCUUAACCUGGGAACUGCGUCGGAUACUGGAUGGCUUGAAUCCGGGAGAGGGAUGUGGAAUUCCAGGUGUAGCGGUGAAAUGCGUAGAUAUCUGGAGGAACACCGGUGGCGAAGGCGGCAUCCUGGACCGGUAUUGACGCUGAGGCGCGAAAGCCAGGGGAGCAAACGGG
rnacentral:rRNA from 1 species